GCCGAGGUGGUGGAACUGGCAGACACACUGGCCUUAGAAGUCAGCGGGGCAACCCAUGCGAGUUCGAAUCUCGCCCUCGGCA
rfam:Parcubacteria bacterium GW2011_GWA2_42_11 TT87_C0001, whole genome shotgun sequence.